rfam:Roseateles depolymerans strain KCTC 42856, complete genome.
UGUCUCCUCCACCGCCUCCAUGGUGGAUUCAGCCCAAGGCCCCCAAGGCCUUGGGCUUUUUUUC